rnacentral:rRNA from 1 species
GGGGGCGCAUCAUCGACCGACCUAUUCUACUCUUAGGAAGGUUUGAGUAAGAGCGCACCUGUUGGGA